rnacentral:sRNA from 2 species
GCGCAGGAAGCUUAGGGUUCCGCUGCCCCAUGCGGCAGGUCUGGUCCAAGAAGCUUCACCCACGUGGCAAAUUCCGCGCGGGCACACGGCGGGCCAAAAUCCCGGGAGAU